ensembl:lncRNA
GGUUGGAUAAUGUCACAUGCUCAGGCAGCGAAUCACAGCUCUCUGAGUGCCAUCACUCAGUGUUUGGAUCCCACAACUGCAGCCACCAUGAGGAUGCUGGUGUCAUCUGUGAAGGCUCUCACCCAGAUUUCUCCCUGCUUUUGGUUGUUGUAAUUGUGGUCAUGGUAGUACUGAUGCUGCUUUCUGUUCUGAUGUUGAUCUACAAAAGGAGGACCGAGAGCUCCGUUGAUUUGGACAGAAGGAGAAACUCAGACCACAACCAGACUGAGAUUGCCCUCUAUGAAAAUUUUUGUCCAGUCUCCAGAUGUGAAGAUUCAAUCUACCAGAGCCUCGAUCUUGCCAGCAGUGACCAAGACCAAACCUACUGCAGUCUCACGCACUCAAAAUAGCCCGUUUUCAGACAUGCAUUCAGAUCAUGUCAUAUGACACAUAAAAGGCUUAUUUUUAUGUCAGUGCACACAAAGUCUGAAGCCGAAAGCUUGGCUUAACAGAGGAAGUUGAUAAUGUGAUACCUGUUAUCUCCAACUGAGGUUUUAGUUUUCAUCGAGCCAGCUAAUUCAAAGAAGGCCUGUCUGUGUUCAUAGUGUACCCCUCUGGUCAGACAAAGCUAUACACACACUUAACCUAUUGGUAUAUUUGAAGGAUUUUGCUCAUUAUCAGUUUAAAAGAUGUUGGCUAUUUUUUUAAAGUCAGUGUUUACCUUUGUACCUUUUAAUGUGCCUGAUGUAGUGAGUUUUUCUUGUUC